rnacentral:lncRNA from 1 species
UGCUGCCUGUGGGCAAGCUGGUGCCGGCUUGACAGCUCAACGUUUUCCGUUUGUGCUUACGAGGCGGCGUUACUUGAGAGAAGAUAAUAAUACUUUGAUGCUCUUCUCACGCCUACAAAUGAGGGCGACGUGAUAAACAGCACAGCACGCGAAAGGGUACGUGAACGCCAACGAACGGCGUGCCGCCAACAACUGCAUGGGCUGUCACUUCAGUGUAUUCUUCCCGCCUUUGGAAGAAGCAUUUUGGACUAAAGCUACCUUGAUAUGUACAAAACAUGGGAGACUACGUGCAGGAUUAUGAAUGGCUACCUGAAUGCUGCUUGAAGCAGCCAGCUCUACAGCACCACUCGUGCCCCUUUCCAUGGGUUGGCAAGAGGAGCAGUGGCACACAACUCUACAGGCACUUGUGCUUUUUAUCAUCUUUGGAGGAGAUGUAUUGGCAGCUGCAGGUGGUCCCUUCUCAUACGCCAUGCCAAGGAGUCCUGCAAUCCGAGUCAUGCAUCACUGCCGGUGACUG